CUACGGGACGCAGCAGUGGGGAAUAUUGCACAAUGGGCGCAAGCCUGAUGCAGCCAUGCCGCGUGUAUGAAGAAGGCCUUCGGGUUGUAAAGUACUUUCAGCGGGGAGGAAGGGAGUAAAGUUAAUACCUUUGCUCAUUGACGUUACCCGCAGAAGAAGCACCGGCUAACUCCGUGCCAGCAGCCGCGGUAAUACGGAGGGUGCAAGCGUUAUCGGAGAUUACUGGGCGUAAAGCGCACGCAGGCGGUUUGUUAAGUCAGAUGUGAAAUCCCCGGGCUCAACCUGGGAACUGCAUCUGAUACUGGCAAGCUUGAGUCUCGUAGAGGGGGGUAGAAUUCCAGGUGUAGCGGUGAAAUGCGUAGAGAUCUGGAGGAAUACCGGUGGCGAAGGCGGCCCCCUGGACGAAGACUGACGCUCAGGUGCGAAAGCGUGGGGAGCAAACAGGAUUAGAUACCCCGGUAGUC
rnacentral:rRNA from 1 species